rnacentral:rRNA from 1 species
AACCCUAAGGCGCAAUGAAAGUGAAGGUCAGGCACAGCACUGACUGAGGCAGGAUCCGUCCGGGUGAGCGAAGCUCUUCUUCCUUUCGCGGGUUCGUCCCGCGGGGGAGCUCGGCGGCGCACUGCCAGCCCAUCUCGGCCGCUUCCUGUCGGCGAGGUGGAGCUAGAGCGCACACGUUGGGACCCGAAAGAUGGUGAACUAUGCUCGGGCAGGACGAAGCCAGAGGAAACUCUGGUGGAGGUCCGUAGCGAUUCUGACGUGCAAAUCGAUCGUCGGACCCGAGUAUAGGGGCGAAAGACUAAUCGACCGUCU